rnacentral:lncRNA from 1 species
CACACCCUCUCUGAAAUGGUCAUUCUCCCUUCAAUCAGUAACGUUCAGGUUAAGGGGAAGUCAGAACGGCAGCUCUUCACGAGUCUUCAAAGGCAAGGUGGUAUUGUGGUAGCUCCUUUCUGAAUAUUCAUUCUUACUGUGUAAUGCUGAGGAAGAUCGUCCCGAGGGCAGACUGAACCGAUGCUCAAGGCUCAUCAUAGAAGUCACUUUGAAAAAUUGCCUGUGUCUCUGAUAGCCUCUAUCUGCAAGGCUUUUGAACCCUGUGUCUCCUGGUAUGAGAAGAGAAUUUUGAGUUAAAAGACAGCAAGAGAACUUGCCCAAUAUCACCAUCAAACUAGAGACCUAAGCAAGCUGUGGAGACGAACUCCCGCGCCCGUGAGCACGUCAUCACUUCCCACCGUCAGGGAGCUUCAGAUUUUGACUGAAGUUGGAACUAAAGUCAAAGGCGUGUGGUACCGAGUUUGAACUUGAGGCUGUGGAAUCAAGAGUCUAUUCAUUCCCGCCACUUCUCCUGCCCCGAACCUCCCACUGGCGACUUCUGCCAGGUCUCUAACUUUCUGCUUGCCAAGUAUACGUAAGGAUUGAACGUGAGGCAUCUCUCUAAGGUCAUGAGAUUUCUCCCCCUACCAAAAUACCACUUCAAAAUCCACUUCAGUUUCGUUUUUAAAAUUUUUCACCUUCAGAGCAUUUCCAGCCACAUUAGAAACUAGCUCCUUAUUUACAGUCACACAUGCAGCCCACUGGUCUUCCUCUCCUUCACCUCCGGGGACUCCAUGCUCCUUGACCCCAUCCAGCCCCUCCUCCCUUCCUCCCCUCCCUACUCCUCUUUCUCCCUCUUUUUUCCUUCCCUUCCUCUCUUCCUUCCUCCUCUCUCCCCCUCCUUGGCAGUGGCCUGGACACAAGAGACGGAGGCCUGGAGAAAUGAGUUGUGCAGGUGUUGGCAUGGAAAUGAGGUCCAUGGGGAGGACAAGACUGAGGGGCCGGCCCGAGCCUGGAGGAGUAGGGAGCACUUUACAAGGAGCAGCAUUUCUGGAAGCCAACUUAUGCAUCUAUUUUCAUAUUUUCCGAAACGUACAUGAGAGUGGCUGCCUGAGCAAGAAACCAAAUCCUUAGAGAAUUAAGAGGGAGCCUUUGGAUGACUGGUUUCCUCCGCUCCUAAUACGACGUGCAAAAAGCAACUUCCGGCCAAAAGAAAGAAGAGAAUUCUGGACAAAACACAAGCCAACAAACCAACCUAACAUGGUUUCCUGGCUUAUGCGGGGGACUUUGUCUCAGAAAGAACAUUUUACUGGCCUGAUCAUAAAUUUGCCCUCCACUGGUUGAGUCAGCCUGUUCAUUUUUGGCUUGCCCUCCCUGAAGCUAAGCAAACGAUGAGCAGCAUAGUUUUCACUUCUAAACAAACACGCGGGAAAAGAAUAACAAUUAAAGGCUUAAUAAUUGGUUGUAAAUUACAGGCAUUAAAAGCUGCCAUGGAAGUUUUCGGAGACACAGGAAAAAGUGUGGAAGCUUGAAGGCCAGCUGUUCCGUAGCUUGUGACCUUGGUCAAAAGCUGCCCCCGGGCCUCAGACACGUCCCAUCUAGAAUCAGGUGGCUCACAGGUGUAGUUGGACUUUUUCGUCUUUUUCCGGGAGAUGUUCUCUUAAGGGGGAUAACUUAUCUUCUGGUGGCCCAUGUCGAGGAUCAAUGUCAGGAAAAAACAGUGUUUGUUUCCUUGUAUUUUAAGAUUUCCUAUUUUUGGCAUCCUUCCUCCAGGAUGGCUUUAUCUCAGUGCAGAGACCAGGAAGUCAAUUGUGUCGGCUGGAGCAUCCUCUGGGCCCAGCCACGUCUUGGGCUGCAGACAGCCGCGUAGGCUCUGGCACUUAAGGACCGUCUGCUCCGGGUCAGCACAGGCUUUUCCAAAAGUCGGUCUAAGAGUCUUGGAGGGUCCACAAUAUUUCCACCUUGUUUGUAGAACAUAAUUUUUCUUCUUCAGAUGAGAGGGUUAUGCUUCAUCCUGUUCCACAUCCUUUUCAUCCAUCUCUAUUUCGGCAGCUCUGUCAGCCAGAGUGGGCGACCUCCAACCUUUGUUUCCCUGCAGGCAAACAAGAUUUUCUGUUUCGUUACUAACAAUAGAACAAAAGGCAUUGUGAAUGUCCAGGGACUUUUUGUGGCAUAUUGUAGCAGUGGGUGCAUGGGGUGACGGGGAUAACUAACAUUCUGCUUCAUUUUAUUCUCCAAAUUCAUUUGUUAAUGAAGCUUUUAAAGAAAUGUUACUCUUAUUAAAAUGACUUAGGAAAAUUACUUCAUGUCUUUGUGGCUUAUCUAUAACACAUGAAUAUUUCCCCUCAAAUUUAGCCAUGCCUUAAUUUUAAAAUUUUGUUCUUUAGAAUAUUUUGUUUUUCUUAUAUUUUUUAAAAUUUUGAGUUCUGAAAGUAAAGAACAG